GGACCAUAGCUCAGUGGCAGAGCAACUGUUUUGCAUGCAAAAGGGCCUGGACUCAAUCCCCAGCAUCUCCA